UACGGAGGGGGCUAGCGUUGUUCGGAAUUACUGGGCGUAAAGCGCGCGUAGGCGGCUUUGUAAGUCAGAGGUGAAAUCCUGGAGCUUAACUCCAGAACUGCCUUUGAGACUGCAUCGCUUGAAUCGUGGAGAGGUAAGUGGAAUUCCCGGUGUAGCGGUGAAAUGCGCAGAUAUCGGGAGGAACACCAAUGGCGAAGGCAGCUUGCUGGGACGGUACUGACGCUGAGGCGCGAAAGCGUGGGGAGCAAACAGG
rnacentral:rRNA from 1 species